rnacentral:rRNA from 1 species
AUUGAACGCUGGCGGCAGGCCUAACACAUGCAAGUCGAGCGGAUGAAGGGAGCUUGCUCCUGGAUUCAGCGGCGGACGGGUGAGUAAUGCCUAGGAAUCUGCCUGGUAGUGGGGGAUAACGUCCGGAAACGGGCGCUAAUACCGCAUACGUCCUGAGGGAGAAAGUGGGGGAUCUUCGGACCUCACGCUAUCAGAUGAGCCUAGGUCGGAUUAGCUAGUUGGUGGGGUAGAGGCCUACCAAGGCGACGAUCCGUAACUGGUCCGAGAGGAUGAUCAGUCACACUGGAACUGAGACACGGUCCAGACUCCGACGGGAGGCCGCAGUGGGGAAUAUUGGACGAUGGGCGAAAGCCUGAUCCAGCCAUGCCGCGUGUGUGAAGAAGGUCUUCGGAUUGUAGAGCACUUUAAGUUGGGAGGAAGGGCAGUAAGUUAAUACCUGGCUGUUUUGACGGUACCAACAGAAUAAGCACCGGCUAACUCCGUG